rnacentral:rRNA from 1 species
AACGAACGCUGGCGGCAUGCCUAACACAUGCAAGUCGAACGGGAUCCUAGCUUGCUAGGUGAGAGUGGCGGACGGGUGAGUAACACGUGGGAAUCUGCCUUUUGGUUCGGGAUAACCGCGGGAAACUGCGGCUAAUACCGGAUGAGCCCUUAGGGGGAAAGAUUUAUCGCCGAAAGAGCGGCCCGCGUUAGAUUAGCUAGUUGGUGAGGUAAAGGCUCACCAAGGCUACGAUCUAUAGCUGGUCUGAGAGGAUGAUCAGCCACACUGGGACUGAGACACGGCCCAGACUCCUACGGGAGGCAGCAGUGGGGAAUCUUGCGCAAUGGGCGAAAGCCUGACGCAGCCAUGCCGCGUGAAUGAUGAAGGUCUUAGGAUUGUAAAAUUCUUUUACCAGGGACGAUAAUGACGGUACCUGGAGAAAAAGCCCCGGCUAACUUCGUGCCAGCAGCCGCGGUAAUAC